rnacentral:rRNA from 1 species
GGCGCACGCCUGAUCCAGCCAUUCCGCGUGAGUGAAGAAGGCCUUCGGGUUGUAAAGCUCUUUCGGCAGGAACGAAACGGCGAGCUCUAACAUAGCUCGCUAAUGACGGUACCUGAAGAAGAAGCACCGGCUAACUACGUGCCAGCAGCCGCGGUAAUACGUAGGGUGCGAGCGUUAAUCGGAAUUACUGGGCGUAAAGCGUGCGCAGGCGGUUGUGUAAGACAGGUGUGAAAUCCCCGGGCUUAACCUGGGAACUGCGCUUGUGACUGCACGGCUGGAGUAUGGCAGAGGGGGGUGGAAUUCCACGUGUAGCAGUGAAAUGCGUAGAGAUGUGGAGGAACACCGAUGGCGAAGGCAGCCCCCUGGGCCAGUACUGACGCUCAUGCACGAAAGCGUGGGGAGCAAACAGGAUUAGAUACCCUGGUAGUCCACGCCCUAAACGAUGUCGACUAGGUGUUCGGUGAGGAGACUCAUUGAGUACCGCAUCUAACGCGUGAAUUCCACCGCGUGGGGAGUACGGUCGCAGGAUUAACACUCAAGGA